CACACGGAAAAGCAGGAGAGCAAAAGAAACCUUUGCCCGGGCCCUCCCUCUGCAGGCACAGCCGCACGCGGGCACCCCAACAGCACCGCAAGGCUGCCAGGGGCGCGGCUGCUCUGCAAGCUCGAAUCGUGCCCCCCCCUUCCUCUUGGCUACCCCAGCCCUGGCCGCACCCUCCCCAUGCAGCGCCAGGGGCCGGUGAGACCCCGGCCAGAGCCAGACACGACAUUUCCCGGGGGUCAGAGGAGCGCAGGGCAGGGCAGCGGCCUUACCGCGACCAGGCGAAGGAGCUCUGCAAAGGCUCCCCCCUCUCCCGUCCCCAUUAGGUGCAGAAUGGGCCCAUCGCAGCCCGUCCCACGGCGUAAAAGCCCUCGUGUACCCGUACAGAUCGACGUGGGACGCACCGGAGCAGCCUCACCUCCAGCGUGAGCUCCAGAACAGGGCGAGCCCCGAGGAUGAGUCACAUCCCGAAGGGCUGCAGCCCUGCCCGUACCUGCAACAGCCCCCGGCGCUUGUGCCCCCUUUCCAUGCAGCCCCGGCGGGUUCCUGGGGACAGGUUCUCUCCCACCCGCAGCCACCUCGCUGAGCAGCGCUCCCGUCAGCGCGGAGCAGCAACGUUGCACAAGAUUUCCAGCCACCACCACGCUGGCACCGCCCGCCGUCCCACCCAGCUCUUAUCUCAGCUUUGCCUCCACAAUUGCAGGGCUGCUCAGCAGCAGGUGACUUGCUGAGGCGGUUCCUUCCAUACAAGGGAGCCAAAGAUUUUUGGGGGAAGAUUCUGUAUUGCCUGGCAUAACCCAAGCCACCCUCAUCACAACAAAAACAUGAAAAGAUGAGGGAGGAAAAUAACUCAGAACAUUAACCAAAGGGGCAAGAGCCAUCUCAUGUUCCCAAAAUUCUGGGAGAAAGAUGAGUCUGCAGAACUGACGUUUGUCACCAGCUUGCUUCUGCCCAAGUGUUAUCCUGUCCCUAUUUCUCAAUUUUAAAAACACCAGACACCAAAAAUGUGUAAUUAGGGUGCCACAGAGAAGCAUGAGUUAUGUCUGAAAAAGCACAUGUUACUUUGGUGACUCAUUUGGGCACAGGAACUCGAGGUGGAUUGUGGAAGCUGUCUCCCGUUUCAGAAAGCAAAUACCUGGUUCAACCUUGGAACCCAAAGCCCACACCUUUCAGGCAAGGAGAAGGGAGAGAGGAAAAAAAAAACACAAGCCAAACUUUUUUUCCUGGUUUAUUGUGGCAAACAUCAGUGACACUCAAUUCUCAGAGGCAAUUUGCUAACUCCAUGCUGUUCAGACAUCGUGCAGCAAACCUCCCCCUUUGAACCAGGUCAGCCACUUGAGUUUAAACCUGCUUCUGAAGAAGUUGUUACUCCCGACAACGGCACGUUACCUCACAUCUCAGCCUGCCGACACUCAGCACUUUAUGGAUCUCCAUCUCUGAGCUUCAUUCUUUGUGCACCACUUGGAAAUCAUUUUUUUUUUCCAGGGAAAAAAAAAAUAAAUCUUGCUUACCAAAGAAUUACAGUAGAAAUCAGACUGGUUACAAGGACCUUG